rnacentral:rRNA from 1 species
UUUUAAGUUCUCUAUUAUGGAGAGUUUGAUCCUGGCUCAGGACGAACGCUGGCGGCGUGCCUAAUACAUGCAAGUCGAGCG